AACGAACGCUGGCGGCAGGCCUAACACAUGCAAGUCGAGCGAGGACUUCGGUCCUAGCGGCGGACGGGUGAGUAACGCGUGGGAACGUGCCCUUUGCUUCGGAAUAGCCCUGGGAAACUGGGAGUAAUACCGGAUGAGCCCUUUGGGGGAAAGAUUUAUCGGCGAAGGAUCGGCCCGCGUUGGAUUAGGUAGUUGUUGGGGUAAUGGCCUACCAAGCCGACGAUCCAUAGCUGGUUUGAGAGGAUGAUCAGCCACACUGGGACUGAGACACGGCCCAGACUCCUACGGGAGGCAGCAGUGGGGAAUCUUAGACAAUGGGGGAAACCCUGAUCUAGCCAUGACGCGUGAGCGAUGAAGGCCUUAGGGUUGUAAAGCUCUUUCAGCUGGGAAGAUAAUGACGGUACCAGCAGAAGAAGCCCCGGCUAACUCCGUG
rnacentral:rRNA from 1 species